rnacentral:sRNA from 1 species
AUGGCUGUCGUCAGCUCGUGUCGUGAGAUGUUGGGUUAAGUCCCGCAACGAGCGCAACCCUCGUUCUAUGUUGCCAGCACGUGAUGGUGGGGACUCAUAGGAGACUGCCGGGGUCAACUCGGAGGAAGGUGGGGACGACGUCAAAUCAUCAUGCCCCUUAUGUCUUGGGCUUCACGCAUGCUACAAUGGCCAGUACAAAGGGCUGCGAGACCGUAAGGUGGAGCGAAUCCCAAAAAGUCGGUCUCAGUUCGGAUUGGGGUCUGCAACUCGACCCCGUGAAGUCGGAGUCGCUAGUAAUCGCAGAUCAGCAACGCUGCGGUGAAUACGUUCCCGGGCCUUGUACACACCGCCCGUCACGUCAUGAAAGUCGGUAACACCCGAAGCCGGUGGCCCAACCCUUGUGGAGGGAGCCGUCGAAGGUGGGACUGGCGAUUAGGACGAAGUCGUAACAAGGUAGCCGUACCGGAAGGUGCGGCUGGAUCACCUCCUUUCUAAGGAGCGCCUGGCACACCCUGCUGGUUGGUGGGGGUUAUGUGUUCAGAUAUGCUAUUUCCUGCACGUCAUGCUGUGGGCGUUAUGCUUGCGGUGGUUGUUGUGGGGUGGCUGCUCAGGGUGGAACAUCGAUUAUUCAGUCGCCUUCUGGUGGCGUUCUCGGCUAGUACGGCCUGGUCUCCUCUUCUUUUGUGGGGGGGUGCGGGUUGGAACGGGGGGAUGCUGGUGGGUGGGGGUUGUGGGCAUACUGUUGGGUCCUGAGGGAGUGGGCAUGCGGGACUGGUGUUGGUUGCUGGUUCUGGUUGUUUAUUCUCCGGGCAUUGGUUGCAUGGUUGUCUGGUGCCUUUGGGUGCUGGGUGGGUGUGUGGCUGGUGUGGGUUCUGCCUCUGCGGUCAAACUGUCUGGUGCCUUUGUGGGUUUCUGGGUGGGUGUCGUGGGUGGGGUGGGGCUGCCCGUAGCUUGAGAACUGUACAGUGGACGCGAGCAUCUUUGUAAUCUGUGGCAAGUUUUUAAGGGCGCACGGUGGAUGCCUUGGCACCAGGAGCCGAUGAAGGACGUAGGAGCCCGCGAUAAGCCUCGAGGAGUUGGCAACCGAGCUGUGAUUCGAGGAUUUCCGAAUGGGGAAACCCGG